GUUAGAUUUAUUCUCAAUUACCUUUAUGCAGAUGUUGGUUUGGGGAUGCACCUGUGGAGCUACUGGUGACUCACGUCCAGUGCAAGUGGGUGUAUUCACUGGCAGCAGAUGUCUGCAUUCAAGACAUGUUUUUACCUGGAUUCAAAGCUCUCAUUCAGACCUGAUUUCAUUUCUAGAAGAGCAUUUGUGUCUACUUCAUGGUUAGCCUUCCCUGGAAGAGGGAUUCCAAGGGGGAUCACCUGAGGAACUGGGACAGAGACAGCUGCCACUUUCUCCACAGUGCUCUGGAAAGAAGAAAAACAAAAAAGCAGACAAUAAUGUUUCUGAACAGAAGAAUGCAUUGAGAGAUACGGUCUUUGAAUGGGAUUCCUGUCUUCAUUUGUUUCUCUUCAAAGAGAGAACACCAGAUUCUUCAAAGUGUUGUUCUUCAUGGCAUGAUUUUCACAUUGGAAAGGAUCAAGGUCCUAACAACCAUCCCAAUUCCAGCUUACUCUCUUGUUGCAGAACUGUGAACAAAGCUUGAGAUGAGCACUGGUGCUUUCAUUUCACUUUGACCUUCCUUGCUCAAGUCUGGUUCCUAUGUGUUCCAGGGAAACAGCUUUAGCAUCAUACAUCAGUGCUACAUGGUAGGAGGGAGUCCCAGGGAAGCCUCUCUACCCUAAUGACACAUUGGAGCCAGCCUCUUGUUUCAUUGCAGCCAUCUGAAUAGACACAAGAUCUCCUGCAAAGGGCUAAAGAAAGACAACCAUUGCUUACGCUUAUCUCAGCUUCUGCACGCAUUAAGAACAUACCUAUCAAACAGGUGCCAAACAUGACUUAUCAUCAUUUAA